UCUCCGUAGGUGAACCUGCGGAGGGAUCAUUACUGAGUGAGGGUCUCCGGGCCCGACCUCCAACCCUUUGUGAACCAAACUUGUUGCUUCGGGGGCGACCCGGCCUUCGGGCGUCGGGGCCCCGGGUGGACCAUUCAAACACUGCAUCUUUGCGUCUGAGUACACGAUUGAAUCAAUCAAAACUUUCGACAACGGAUCUCUUGGUUCUGGCAUCGAUGAAGAACGCAGC
rnacentral:misc_RNA from 1 species